rnacentral:rRNA from 1 species
GUAGUUAUAUGCUUGUCUCAAAGCUUAAGCCAUGCAAGUUUAAGUACAAACUAAACUAAAGUAAAACCGCAAAAUGCUCAUUAAAUCAGUUAUAGUUCACUAGAGCAAAUACUUUAAAUGGAUAACUGUGGUAAUUCUAGAGCUAAUACAUGCAAUUAAGUCUUAACCUUUAAUGGAAAAGACGCUUUUAUUAGAUCAAAACCAAUCGUUCAGCCUAGCUGUUUCGUUUGACUUUUGAUGACUCUGAAUAACACUACAGAUCGCAUUGUCUAAGCACUAGUGACAUAUCUUUCAAAUGCCUGACUUAUCAACUGUCGAUGGUAGAAUAUAUGUCUACCAUGGUUAUAACGGGUAACGGGGAAUCAGGGUUCGAUUCCGGAGAGGGAGCCUGAGAAACAGCUACCACAUCCAAGGAAGGACUCCCGGCACGGGGAGGUAGUGACAAAAAAUAACGAUACGAGUCUCAUCCGAGGCCUCGUAAUCGGAAUGAGUACACUUUAAAUCCUUUAACAAGGAUCUAUUAGAGGAAAAGUCUGGUGCCAGCCCCCGCGGUAAUUCCAGCUCUAAUAGCGUAUAUUAAAGCUGUUGCGGUUAAAAAGCUCGUAGUUGGUUCUGUGUGCCACACUGUUGGUUCACCGCCUGUCGGUGUAACUGACAUGUCGUGGGAUGUCCUGUCGGUGGUAAUUUGGGGUCUAUAUGUUUAGUUUAGGGAUUCCUAUCUAAACUAUAGUUACUUUCUAAUUACCGAUAUAUUCCCGCCGCGGUGCUCUUUACUGAGUGUCGAGGAGGGCCGACACGUUUACUUUGAACAAAUUAGAGUGCUCAAAGCAGGCAAAAAUCUGCCCAAAUAGUAGUGCAUGGAAUAAUAGAAUAAGAUUUUGGCUCUAUUUUGUUGGUUUUAAGAGACCAAGGUAAUGAUCAAUAUGGACAGGCGGGGGCAUUCGUAUUGCGACGUUAGAGGUGAAAUUCUUGGAUCGUCGCAAGACGAACAAAAGCGAAAGCAUUUGCCAAGUAUGUCUUAAUUGAUCAAGAACGAAAGUUAGAGGCUCGAAGGCGAUCAGAUACCGCCCUAGUUCUAACCAUAAACGAUGCCAGCUUGCGAUCCGUCGUCGUUUCUUUCAUGACUCGACGGGCAGCAUCCGGGAAACCAAAGCUUUUGGGCUCCGGGGGAAGUAUGGUUGCAAAGCUGAAACUUAAAGGAAUUGACGGAAGGGCACCACAAGCAGUGGGGCAUGCGGCUUAAUUUGACUCAACACGGCACAACUUACUAGGCCCGGACAUUGGAAGGAUUGACAGAUCAAUAGCUCUUUCUUGAUUCAAUGGGAUGUGGUGCGUUGGUGAGGUGACUUGUCAGGUUAAUUCCGAUAACGAACGAGACUCUAGCCUACUAACUAGACGUCCGGUAUAUCCUCUACCGGCGGCUAGUCUCUUCUUAGAGGGACGGGUAGCUUCACGCUGCACGAGAUUGAGCAAUAACAGGUCAGUGAUGCCCUUAGAUGUUCUGGGCCGCACGCGCGCCACAAUGAAGGAAUCAGCGUGUCUCUCCUUGGCCGAAAGGUCCGGGUAACCCGUUGAACCUCCUUCGUGCUUGGAAUUGGGGCUUGUAAUUAUUCCCCAUGAACGAGGAAUUCCUAGUAAGCGUGAGUCAUAAGCUCGCGUUGAUUACGUCCCUGCCCUUUGUACACACCGCCCGUCGCUACUACCGAUUGAAUGAUUUAGUGAGGUCUUUGGACUAGUAAUAAAGCGAAUGUUGCCUUUGGUAAUUUCGAUAUUACAGGAAAGAUGACCAAACUUGAUCAUUUAGAGAUAGUAAAAGUCGUAACAAGG